CACAACAGCUUAGCAAGCUGGCAGCUCCUGUGACUUGGGACUGCUCUUUUUGUCCCUCCCUGUUCUUUCCUGCCAGCAGGCUCCUAAUCUCUCUUGGCAUUAGGACUCGGUCUCUGGCUAGGGGACCUGCACCUAUGGACACUCAGCUAGAGUGACCCUGAGACGGACUCAGCAUAAACACGGCCUCUCCUGAGACAAGUUUCUGGGGAACCUCCACUUUCACACAACCUGUCUUCCAGUGAAAUUGAGAAGGCAGCAAAGAAUCAAGUUUGGGCUGGCAUUUCCUGGAGCUGCUGGCUUUGCAGUUUCCUGGCUGUGCAAUCUUGGGCAAUAUUCCCAUAUUCCCAUCACCCACCCUGAGACUUCUUUCCUGCAUCUGUAAGCUUCUGGCUGCCGGAAUCAGGAGGUUGGCCGAAACAAAGAGACAAGUAAGAACAAGUAUAUCACCUAGUUAAGAUCCUCCUGAGAAAACACUUCUUAUCAAGUGGACCAGGUGCACAUCUUGCCUCUCCCUGAGUAGUGGGUUCAUUCAGUUCUCUGCCCCCUCACAGCAUUCUUUGAGCCAGGCAGUCACGUCCUGAUGCCUAUCCACCGAUGUCAGUGGGGUAUUAAAGUCCCCCACUAUUAUUGGAUUGCUGUCAAUUCCUUCCUUUAGGUCUGUUAAUACUUGCUUACAUGUAAGCCUCAUGGUAACCACAAAGCCAAAAUCUAUAGUAAAUAUAAAAAGAUAGAGAAAAAGGAACAUAAUUAUACCACAAACGUGUAUCAUCAAACCACAAAGGAAGAGAGCA